rnacentral:antisense_RNA from 1 species
AUCAAUGGGCGGGCCUUGGUAGGGCGACCUUCGGGUCGGCCGGUUUCCGUUUGUACCGGUUCGCCAACCCUGCCUUGCGCCCGCUCACCCCA